rnacentral:lncRNA from 1 species
AACAACCCAUACUCUCACUAUUCUUCUUUAACAACUCACCCUUCCUCAUCUCUCUCUUAUAUGAAACACACACACUCAUCACGAAAGGUGGGGGAUUAUCUUUGCACAAGAGAGAGGGAACAGAAAGAAAACAACGGGCAGCCUUCUUCCUCAAUUCGAGUUUCCGUCUUUCUAGGAUAAAACAAAAAAACUUUCAGCCAUUCCUUAAAUUCAGCUUCAUCUUCAAUACAUAUCACUACAAAUCCACUUUGAAUCCACCUGAAAUUUCAUAAAAAUCAGUGACAAGGUAGCACAUAUCAGUCCCAAUCUCAAUCAUUAAAAAUAUUCAAGCCUAGUCGAGUAUGUCUGAGGUUCGUCGAACUCCGGCAAGCUACGAAUUCGAGGUUCUAGAGUCACGGUCUUGGUCGUCUUUUAGUUUUGAGCAAACAAAGUCAGAUCCUCCUUGCUAAAAGGUAUUUUUGUUUUGCUGAGCUUCAUUCUGCCUUUUGUCUAGCCUUUAUUUGGCACUCAUAGAGUAAUUCCCGUACAAUCAGGUAUUCAUCCUUUGAAUUCAAGUUAUUGUUCUAUAAAAAAAAUAAAGUGAAUCAAUUCUUCUAUUUUGCUAUGAAAUCUGGAUUCGUUUUCUGCUAUUCACAUACAGAAUCUCUCAUGUUUAGAUUAUUAUUUAGUAGAUUUGAAGUUACAUUGACUUUGUGAUGAUUUAUUUGUGCCUAGGUUAAUGAGUUGAUUUAUACAAGUGUGCAGUGCCUUCCAUAGAUUAUCAUAUCUACCAUCCUAUGUCUCAAAUGGCUUUGAUUAUUUAGUGAAUUAGAAAAGGAGUUGUUUAAGAUGUUUUUUUUUAGUCACUAACAGUAAAUAAAAAGAGUUGUUGAAUAUUGAAUCUGGAAAUGUAGAGCCAAAGCAUUCGAGCAGAAAUAAUGGUAGUUCACCUUAUGUUAUUGUAAAUUUCGAGUUUCAAUUUUAUGUACUAAGUUAGUGUGGUAAUUUCAAACUUGUUUGAUCACAUAGACAAAGGAAAAAAACGAGGAAAAAGACGAAGAGAAAGAAGAGUACAGAAAACGC